rnacentral:rRNA from 1 species
CGCCGAUGGAGGGGGAUAACUACUGGAAACGGUAGCUAAUACCGCAUAACGUCGCAAGACCAAAGAGGGGGACCUUCGGGCCUCUUGCCAUCGGAUGUGCCCAGAUGGGAUUAGCUAGUAGGUGGGGUAAAGGCUCACCUAGGCGACGAUCCCUAGCUGGUCUGAGAGGAUGACCAGCCACACUGGAACUGAGACACGGUCCAG